UACGUAGGGUGCGAGCGUUGUCCGGAAUUAUUGGGCGUAAAGGGCUCGUAGGCGGUUUGUCACGUCGGGAGUGAAAACUCGGGGCUUAACCCCGAGCCUGCUUCCGAUACGGGCAGACUAGAGGUAUGCAGGGGAGAACGGAAUUCCUGGUGUAGCGGUGAAAUGCGCAGAUAUCAGGAGGAACACCCGUGGCGAAGGCGGCUCUCUGGGCCUUACCUGACGCUGAGGAGCGAAAGCAUGGGGAGCAAACAGG
rnacentral:rRNA from 1 species